rfam:Acidiphilium rubrum strain ATCC 35905 genome assembly, contig: Ga0104712_108
UCCCUUUCGCAGGGCGCUCAUAUCGCCUAUAUAGGUCGAGCCGGGCAACCGGCUAUGGCGAUAAACGGUGCGUGGAAUAAGUGUUGUGGACCCGGGGGCAGUACCCGGCGCCUCCACCAAAUUCUGGCUUUGGGGCAAACUCCGCCCUCCGAGGCAGAUCAUGGGGGUGAAACAGGCUCGACACGCACGGUAAAGACCCAUCUUUCGCUCGGCAUUGUACCGCCGUUAUCGGGCUAUAUCACAAGUGCCAACGAUAAUUUCGAGGCAUUCGCUGUCGCUGCAUAAGCGAUAAGCGCGGUUCGGGGGGCACCGGGCAACAGAAGCCCCCCACU